rnacentral:lncRNA from 1 species
UAACCCUGAACCAAACAAGGUGCUAGGGUUGAGUGGUUCCCACAGGGUAAUAAUAUUAAUCCAAAGGUUAGAAAUGAUCAAAGGAGCUUAUCUAAAGGUCAAAAAGUCAGAAACACCAAAUUCUCUAUACUUCCGAUAGCAUAGUAGCUAUAUUCUUUAUAUUUAUAUUUUCUAUAUAAUCUGUUAUUUGGCGGCCCCUCUUACCACUUGUCAUGCUCCUUUACUCCUCUCUCUCUCUCACUCCUCUCCUCAUGCCCUUCUCAUCCUUUUUACUAAACGUUCCCUCUCUUAUCACCCCAUUGCUCCUUGACCUUCGGAUUACCUUCCCAUACGGUCGGACAAUAGGAGCUCCGUUGGUGACUUUCUCUUUUCCUGCCCUAACACCUUGUGACGCCCCAACUUCCUAGGGAAUCACCUAUCCUAUGACUUCUCCUGUCCUAGCACGCUUAACUCUCUUAACCUCUUUGGCCUUGCCACCAUCCAAAAUGCUUAAACCGGGUUAAAAGUUUUAGCUCCAUUAUAUCUUAUAUAUAUGACCCUUAAGCCUUGACGUCCUCGUCAAGUUUAGACUCACAGUACUAGGUGAUGUGAGACUCGUCUCGAUAGUCUAAACCGAUCUUGUGGUGAGCUGCGCUCCACCAACAACAGUCAACAGCAUGAGAGUCUCGCUCUCCCCGCUGUACAAUCCUGGCUCAGCCAAGACUCAUUUCACAUUUCCGGCUGGUAAUUGGCUCUGAUACCAACUGUGACACCCUAACUUACCAGGGGGUCACCCAUCCUAGGACUUCUCCCGUCCUAGCACACUUAACUCUCUUAAUCUCUUGGGGCUUGCCACCACCCAAAAUGCUUAAGGAGGGUUAAGAGUUUUAGCUCUAUUAUAUCUUAUAUAUAAGACUACUUGGGGUCUCACAUGUCC